rnacentral:tRNA from 1 species
UGUCUCAGUAGCUCAAUUGGAUAGAGCAUCCCCCUCCUAAGGGGAAGGUUGGCAGUUCUUAUCUGGGGUGGGAUCUAGUCUCCUGCUGAGAUAA